rnacentral:rRNA from 1 species
UACGUAGGGUGCAAGCGUUAAUCGGAAUUACUGGGCGUAAAGCGUGCGCAGGCGGUGAUGUAAGACAGUUGUGAAAUCCCCGGGCUCAACCUGGGAACUGCAUCUGUGACUGCAUCGCUGGAGUGCGGCAGAGGGGGAUGGAAUUCCGCGUGUAGCAGUGAAAUGCGUAGAUAUGCGGAGGAACACCGAUGGCGAAGGCAAUCCCCUGGGCCUGCACUGGACGCUCAUGCACGAAAGCGUGGGGAGCAAACAGG